GACGAACGCUGGCGGCGUGCUUAACACAUGCGAGUCGAACGGAAAGGCCCUGCUUUUGUGGGGUGCUCGAGUGGCGAACGGGUGAGUAACACGUGAGUAACCUGCCCUUGACUUUGGGAUAACUUCAGGAAACUGGGGCUAAUACCGGAUAGGAGCUCCUGCUGCAUGGUGGGGGUUGGAAAGUUUCGGCGGUUGGGGAUGGACUCGCGGCUUAUCAGCUUGUUGGUGGGGUAGUGGCUUACCAAGGCUUUGACGGGUAGCCGGCCUGAGAGGGUGACCGGCCACAUUGGGACUGAGAUACGGCCCAGAGUCCUACGGGAGGCAGCAGUGGGGAAUAUUGCACAAUGGGCGGAAGCCUGAUGCAGCAACGCCGCGUGCGGGAUGACGGCCUUCGGGUUGUAAACCGCUUUCGCCUGUGACGAAGCGUGAGUGACGGUAAUGGGUAAAGAAGCACCGGCUAACUACGUG
rnacentral:rRNA from 1 species